rnacentral:rRNA from 1 species
GGGGUAACAGGAAGUGCUUGCACUUCGCUGACGACCGGCGCACGGGUGAGUAUCGCGUAUACAAUCUGCCUCAUACUAGGGAAUAGCCCGAAGAAAUUUGGAUUAAUGCCCUAUAGUAUCUUUUUAAGGCAUCUUAUUAAGAUUAAAGGUUACGGUAUGAGAUGAGUAUGCGUUCUAUUAGCUAGUAGGUGUGGUAACGGCACACCUAGGCUACGAUAGAUAGGGGCCCUGAGAGGGGGAUCCCCCACACUGGUACUGAGACACGGACCAGACUCCUACGGGAGGCAGCAGUAAGGAAUAUUGGUCAAUGGACGAAAGUCUGAACCAGCCAUGCCGCGUGCAGGAUGACUGCCCUAUGGGUUGUAAACUGCUUUUAUAUAGGAAGAAAAACUUUCUCGUGAGAAAGCUUGACGGUACUAUAAGAAUAAGGA